rnacentral:rRNA from 1 species
CCCUUAGAUGUUCUGGGCCGCACGCGCGCUACACUGAUAAUGUCAACAAGCUUUACCUUGGCCGAUAGGUCUGGGCAAUCUUCGAACUAUUAUCGUGAUGGGGCUAGAUUAUUGCAACUAUUAAUCUUAAACGAGGAAUUCCUAGUAAGCGCGAGUCAUCAGCUCGCGUUGAUUACGUCCCUGCCCUUUGUACACACCGCCCGUCGCUCCUACCGAUUGGAUUGGCUGGUGAAGCGUUCGGAUUUUGGGUUCGGAGCGGUUCGCCGUUCUGGGCUUGCGAGAAGUUCGUUAAACCCUCCUAUCUAGAGGAAGGAGAAGUCGUAACA